rnacentral:lncRNA from 1 species
CCCCCCCUCUCCAAACUCCACCUCCCCCCUGGGCGGAGCUGUUCCAGAGCUCCAGAGCUGGCUGUCGUCCUGUCCAGACCGCGCGGGGCUAUGGACCGGGACAGAGCCAGCCCGGAGCGGCCGGCGCUCGCUCCGGAUGAGUACGAGACCGUGAGCUCCACGCAGCAGGAUGGGGAGACCAUGGGCGAGCAGGACUGCAGGGGGUGCGCUCUUCCUAGGCGUCGCCGGGCUGUCCCUGUCCUCUCGGCUCUGCUCUCCCUCUCUCUGGCCGCCAAUGUCGCCCUGUGCGUCUACGUGUUCUGGCCUGGACUACUUCAAGGCUCUCUGAUCUCCAGCCCGGCUGCCACUGCAUCGUGCCCGACAGCAGACGGUCAGACCUCCAAACCCACCAGCGCUCCCUCCAGCACGACAGCAGGUGAGCAGAGAUCUGCAGGGGGGUCACCUGUUCCUGUGCAGCAGGGCGUUUGUGAAACUGGGGAAUGAAACCGUCUCUUUCUGGCAGGGAUGGCCACCUCUGGGACAACCCUGACUCCAACGAGCACUACAGCAGGUAGAAACCGAGCUAGCAGGCCGGGAUCUGUAGUCCCCAGGUUGGGUGUGACAGGGGUGAUGGUAUGAAAGAGGUUUUGGGAUGUUCCUUAUUGAUGCUGUACUUAGUAAUUGGCAGAACUGACUCUAUAUGAGC